GGGCGCUAAGUUGCAGGGUAUAGACCCGAAACCCGGUGAUCUAGCCAUGGGCAGGUUGAAGGUUGGGUAACACUAACUGGAGGACCGAACCGACUAAUGUUGAAAAAUUAGCGGAUGACCUGUGGCUGGGGGUGAAAGGCCAAUCAAACCGGGAGAUAGCUGGUUCUCCCCGAAAGCUAUUUAGGUAGCGCCUCGUGAACUCAUCUCCGGGGGUAGAGCACUGUUUCGGCUAGGGGGCCAUCCCGGCUUACCAACCCGAUGCAAACUGCGAAUACCGGAGAAUGUUAUCACGGGAGACACACGGCGGGUGCUAACGUCCGUCGUGAAGAGGGAAACAACCCAGACCGCCAGCUAAGGUCCCAAAGUCAUGGUUAAGUGGGAAACGAUGUGGGAAGGCACAGACAGCCAGGAUGUUGGCUUAGAAGCAGCCAUCAUUUAAAGAAAGCGUAAUAGCUCACUGGUCGAGUCGGCCUGCGCGGAAGAUGUAACGGGGCUAAACCAUGCACCGAAGCUGCGGCAGCGACGCUUGCGUCGCUGGGUAGGGGAGCGUUCUGUAAGCCGCAGAAGGCGUGCUGUGAGGCAUGCUGGAGGUAUCAGAAGUGCGAAUGCUGACAUAAGUAACGAUAAAGCGGGUGAAAAGCCCGCUCGCCGGAAGACCAAGGGUUCCUGUCCAACGUUAAUCGGGGCAGGGUGAGUCGACCCCUAAGGCGAGGCCGAAAGGCGUAGUCGAUGGGAAGCAGGUUAAUAUUCCUGCACUUGGUGUUGCUGCGAAGGGGGGACGGAGAAGGCUAGGUUAUCCGGGCGACGGUUGUCCCGGUUUAAGCGUGCAGGUGUGAAGACCAGGCAAAUCCGGUCUUCUUUAACACUGAGGCGUGACGACGAGGCUCUACGGAGCCGAAGUAACUGAUGCCCUGCUUCCAGGAAAAGCCUCUAAGCUCCAGGCAACACGAAAUCGUACCCCAAACCGACACAGGUGGUCAGGUAGAGAAUACCAAGGCGCUUGAGAGAACUCGGGUGAAGGAACUAGGCAAAAUGGUGCCGUAACUUCGGGAGAAGGCACGCUGGCGCGUAGGUGGAGGGACUUGCUCCCCGAGCCGAGGCCAGUCGAAGAUACCAGCUGGCUGCAACUGUUUAUUAAAAACACAGCACUGUGCAAACACGAAAGUGGACGUAUACGGUGUGACGCCUGCCCGGUGCCGGAAGGUUAAUUGAUGGGGUUAUCCGCAAGGAGAAGCUCUUGAUCGAAGCCCCGGUAAACGGCGGCCGUAACUAUAACGGUCCUAAGGUAGCGAAAUUCCUUGUCGGGUAAGUUCCGACCUGCACGAAUGGCGUAAUGAUGGCCAGGCUGUCUCCACCCGAGACUCAGUGAAAUUGAAAUCGCUGUGAAGAUGCAGUGUACCCGCGGCAAGACGGAAAGACCCCGUGAACCUUUACUACAGCUUGACACUGAACAUUGAGCCUUGAUGUGUAGGAUAGGUGGGAGGCUUCGAAGCGCGGACGCCAGUCCGCGUGGAGCCAUCCUUGAAAUACCACCCUUUAACGUUUGAUGUUCUAACGUGGGCCCGUUAUCCGGGCUGCGGACAGUGUCUGGUGGGUAGUUUGACUGGGGCGGUCUCCUCCCAAAGCGUAACGGAGGAGCACGAAGGUUGGCUAAUCCUGGUCGGACAUCAGGAGGUUAGUGCAAUGGCAUAAGCCAGCUUGACUGCGAGAGUGACGGCUCGAGCAGGUGCGAAAGCAGGUCAUAGUGAUCCGGUGGUUCUGAAUGGAAGGGCCAUCGCUCAACGGAUAAAAGGUACUCCGGGGAUAACAGGCUGAUACCGCCCAAGAGUUCAUAUCGACGGCGGUGUUUGGCACCUCGAUGUCGGCUCAUCACAUCCUGGGGCUGAAGUAGGUCCCAAGGGUACGGCUGUUCGCCGUUUAAAGUGGUACGCGAGCUGGGUUUAGAACGUCGUGAGACAGUUCGGUCCCUAUCUGCCGUGGGCGCUGGAGAAUUGAGGGGGGUUGCUCCUAGUACGAGAGGACCGGAGUGAACGCACCGCUGGUGUUCGGGUUGUCACGCCAGUGGCACUGCCCGGUAGCUAAGUGCGGAAAAGAUAAGUGCUGAAAGCAUCUAAGCACGAAACUUGCCCCGAGAUGAGUUCUCCCUGGCUCCUCGAGAGCCCUGAAGGGACGUUGAAGACGACGACGUUGAUAGGCCGGGUGUGUAAGCGCAGCGAUGCGUUGAGCUAACCGGUACUAAUGACCCGUGAGGCUUAACCUUACAACGCCAGAGGCGUUUUG
rnacentral:rRNA from 1 species